UACGUAGGGAGCAAGCGUUGUCCGGAAUCAUUGGGCGUAAAGCGCGCGCAGGCGGUUCUUUAAGUCUUGUGUUUAAUCCCGUGGCUCAACCACGGUUCGCAUGGGAAACUGGGGAACUGGAGUGCAGGAGAGGAAAGUGGAAUUCCACGUGUAGCGGUGAAAUGCGUAGAUAUCAGGAGGAAUACCGAUGGCGAAGGCAGGUCUCUGGGCUAUAACUGACGCUCAUGCACGAAAGCGUGGGGAGCAAACAGG
rnacentral:rRNA from 1 species